rnacentral:rRNA from 1 species
CAAUAGCGUAUAUUUAAGUUGUUGCAGUUAAAAAGCUCGUAGUCGGAUUUUGGCUGAGAACGAACGGUCCGCCGUUAGGCGUGCACUGUUUGGUCUCAGCUUCCUGGUGAGGAGGUGUGCUUCACGGCCACUUAGUCACCGUGGUUACUUUGAAAAAAUUAGAGUGUUCAAAGCGGGCUUACGCUUGAAUAUAUUAGCAUGGAAUAACACCAUAGGACUCCUGUCCUAUUUCGUUGGUCUCGGGACGGGAGUAAUGAUUAAGAGGAACAGUUGGGGGCAUUCGUAUUUCAUUGUCAGAGGUGAAAUUCUUGGAUUUAUGAAAGACGAACUUCUGCGAAAGCAUUUGCCAAGGAUGUUUUCAUUG